CAAUCCUGGCGACGAGCGGCGAACGGGUGAGUAAUGCUUGGGAAUCUGCCCAUUAGUGGGGAACAACCAGCCGAAAGGUUGGCUAAUACCGCAUACGCCCUACGGGGGAAAGCGGGGGAUCGCAAGACCUCGCGCUAAUGGAUGAGCCCAAGUCGGAUUAGCUUGUUGGUAGGGUAACGGCCUACCAAGGCGACAAUCCGUAGCUGGUCUGAGAGGACGACCAGCCACACUGGGACUGAGACACGGCCCAGACUCCUACGGGAGGCAGCAGUGGGGAAUAUUGGACAAUGGGGGAAACCCUGAUCCAGCGACGCCGCGUGUGUGAAGAAGGCCUGCGGGUUGUAAAGCACUUUUAGUGGGGAUGAAAAGCCUAGGGUUAACACCUCUGGAUCUUGACCUAACCCACAGAAAAAGCACCGGCUAACUCUGUGCCAGCAGCCGCGGUAAU
rnacentral:rRNA from 1 species